AUUUCCCUCCAGCACAUAAGUCCAGGGCACCAAUGUCCUUACCACAUGAGCCAUCUUGCUGGUCCUGCUCUGUAGUUUUACAUUAACUUUUGUUUUUGUAUUGCUAGGGAUCCAUCCUAGGUGACCUACAUCACCACUGAAUGUCACCACUAGCCCUGGGGGCACAGUUUUGCUCUCCAAUUACGUAUAAAACCAUGGAGUGCCUUUGUCUCUUUUUGUGCAUGACCUUUAAAAACUUAUUUCUUUAUUUUGAGAUACAUUGUCUCAUUUAUCUUUGUAGCACUGGCCAGCCAGCCUGGAAUUUACUACUAUGUAAUCCAUAGACACCUUGAAUUUGUGGCAAGCCUCUUGUCUCUGCCUCCCAAGGGCCAGGAUUAUAAGAGUGUGGGAGCUCCCACACCCCACUGAAAGAUCUGUUUUUAUGUCAAGGUCACAUUGUUUGGGUUUUACAGUCUUGUAAUUUGUUUUGUGAUGUUUGGUGUUUGAAAGAGGGUCUUGCUUUAUAGCCUCAAACUAACCAUCCUCCUAUUUCAGCUUCUAAAUGCUCCUAUUAAAGGUAUGUCCUUGGUUGUAUGAUUUGAAACCAGGCUUGUGAUUCCCUCCCCUUUAUUUUCUUUGCUAAGGACUGGUUUAGCAUCGGGGGGUGGGGGGCUUUGUGGUGUUAUAUGAAUUUUUGGAGUUUCUUUUUUCAUAUAUAUGAAGACUAUCAUUGGUAUUUUUAUAGAAAUUACUUUUG
rnacentral:lncRNA from 1 species